AGGGAACGAGGCUUGGUCUUAGCACGGGGUCUAAGGCCCGGGCUUUCCUCCCAG
ensembl:miRNA